CGCGUAGGCGGUUCGAUAAGUCGGGUGUGAAAGCCCUGGGCUUAACCUGGGAAUUGCAUUCGAGACUGUCGGGCUAGAGUAUGGUAGAGGAAAGCGGAAUUCCACAUGUAGCGGUGAAAUGCGUAGAUAUGUGGAGGAACAUCAGUGGCGAAGGCGGCUUUCUGGACCAAUACUGACGCUGAGGCGCGAAAGCGUGGGGAGCAAACAGGAUUAGAUACCCUGGUAGUCCACGCCGUAAACGAUGAGAACUAGGCGUUGGGAGGCGUGACCUCUUAGUGUCGAAGCUAACGCGAUAAGUUCUCCGCCUGGGGAGUACGGCCGCAAGGUUAAA
rnacentral:rRNA from 1 species